AAUACUUCUAUUACUUGUACAUUGUUCUGAUUAUUCUUUUGUUGUUUACGUCUAGCCAUUUUCAAUCACUUGCGUUACAACCAAAUAAAACGAUGGUUUGUAAAUAUUAAGCUCAGAGUUCGCGGCCCUCGCGACCUGGGGGGGGCAAACCUAAGUGGGGCGAGUUGAAGCAAAGUUUCUAGCGCCUCGUACCAAUGGUUCACGAACUAAACAUCACAACCACAUCUUUAAAAUAUACCAGUGAGCACUACUACAUUCGUGCUACUGUCGGUGUAAUGCUUAGUUAGUUCAACAAUGGUAGGAGGCGCUAGUGACAUCACAACACAUGUGUAGCCUGUGCAGGUAUUGUGCAAGUAAGAUGAGGCAAGAGAACAGAAAACGUCACUUUACCAUUCUAGAUUUCAACCAUGUGUGAACGAUUGGGGUUAUCAAGACUCCAGUCACAUUGCGGGGAUGACUAGGAACACCAGGAUUUCAACGUGAGGGUCAACAAUAGAAUUAUAAUAGAGUUUGAAUGUAUUUUGAUAUAUAUUUCUAUGUUUAUAGAACGUACGUUCAUGUAUCAUAUAUUGUUGCUCAUAAUAAAAAAAAUUUUUGCACAAA